CCCUUAGAUGUUCUGGGCUGCACGCGUGUUACAAUCGGGAGUACAACAAGAUUGCAAAUCCUAGUGGAUGAGUGGUUCUUCGAAAUUUUCUGAAGACUGGGAUAGUUGAUUGAAAUUAUUCAACUCGAACGAGGAAUUCCUUGUAAUUGUAAUUCAUUAUAUUGUAAUGAAUACGUCCCUGCCCUUUGUACACACCGCCCGUCGCUCCUACCGAUUGAACGAUCCGGUGAAUUAUUUGGAGUAGCUCUGGAAGUUGCAGAACUUCCUAUGUCACGAAAUUUUGUAAACCUUGUCGUUUAGAGGAAGGAAAAGUCGUAACA
rnacentral:rRNA from 1 species